GUGCAGAUAUAUUCUUCAUUUUCACUAAACUCUUAAAAAUACCAAGCAACAAAUCAAAAAUGGGCGCUGAAAGAGUAUCCAUGAACAUCGUUGUCGUCGGACAAGUUCAAUCUGCUAAGGCCGUUUUAACCGUAGCCAAUGCCACUUCAGCUUCCAACUUGCAGUUAUUGAUAAUCUGUUAAGUCACGUAAAAUUCAUCUACUGAACUUCACAAACUCAAAAAUGUCAUAUUCAACACAAAUAAUAAUACAAUGUAUAAUUGUACCUACUUAUAAAUAAUUCAUGGACUAAUUUCAAUACCAUAAAAUAAAU